UUAUUUCCAACCUCUCACCAAGACCUGCUAUUGGUAUUUAAACAGGGAAGUUAACCUGGUUGCAGCAAUUGGGGACAGCUUUCCAAGGAGUAAUAUUUGAAAUGAAUGAACUGAACGGAACUAAGAGCUGAAGAAUGAAUCUGUAAGUACCAGAAGGGUGUGGCCAAAGGAGUCAACAAAAGAUUCAACAUGGGGUUCACCGGAGUCUGGGCUUUGUCAAGUGUGCCGAGGACACAUGUUGAAUGAGAAGUGCUUGAGAGAAGUUGCCGCAGAGGACCAGGACAGUGACAGAGGUGGGUGUUCAUCUCCCUCGGACCUUCCCACCCACAGGCCGUCAUAAG
rnacentral:lncRNA from 1 species